UUUGUUACAUCCGGUUUCAUAUCAACAUUUCAGCGACACGUUUUUUACGCUGAUUCUUGUAGUUUAUUGCAGUUAAAUAAGUUGAAAGUGACUGAACUUCAACGUUUAUAUGUGAGACGCCCCGUGCAUGCUACGACAGUCGUCAGAAUGCUUCGGAACUACUCUUUACGACUGUGUCGAAUUUCACCCGUUUGUCCUCUGGCUCGGGUCUCUGGAGCUGUGUCAGGUAAACAACUAGGAAGUCACAGAUGUUUCCACCCACAAACACCAUGUCGUGCCAAAGUAUUGACAGUAGACAACAUGAACCCUCAUCUGAAGGCUAUGGAAUAUGCUGUACGCGGUCCGAUUGUCAUUAUGGCUGGCAAAAUAGAAGAGGAACUGAUUGCUGGUGUGAAGAAGCCUUUCCCAAAUGUGAUCAGAGCCAAUAUUGGGGAUUGUCAUGCCACAGGACAACCACCCAUUACAUUCCUCAGACAGGUGGUGGCUUUAUGUACAGAUCCAGCUAUGCUGAUGACAGACCCACGAUAUCCAUCAGACGCCAAGGAACGUGCUCAGCGAGUCCUCGACAGCUGUGGUGGUAGCAGUAUAGGUGCCUACAGUGACAGUUCUGGUGUUCUGGCAGUGCGUGAGGACAUUGCUAACUACAUUCAGGAGCGAGACGGUAUCCCAGCCUCCUCUAAUGAUAUAUUCCUGUGUACAGGUGCUAGUGAUGGUAUUAAGACCAUAAUGAAGAUGUUGAUGACUGGAGAAUCUGGGCGUGGUCAAGCGGGGGUGAUGAUUCCCAUCCCCCAGUACCCUCUAUACACAGCCACUAUAGCAGAGUACAAUGCAUAUCCUAUAAAAUAUUACAUGGAUGAGGACAAGAACUGGGCCCUAGAUAUAAACGAGCUGAAGAGAUCAAUUGAUGAAGCGAGACCAAACUGUAAACCUAGAGCCAUUGUUAUCAUCAACCCUGGUAACCCUACAGGUUCAGUUUUAUCCAGACAAAAUAUAGAAGAUGUGAUAAAGUUUGCCAAGGAUGAAGGACUUUUUAUUUUAGCUGAUGAGGUGUAUCAACACAACGUGUAUGCAGAGGGAGCAGCCUUCCACUCGUUUAAGAAGGUAAUGACAGAGUUGGGAGGAGAAUACAAGGACAUGGAGCUUGCAUCCUUCAUGUCAGUUUCCAAGGGAUACAUGGGAGAAUGUGGAUUUAGAGGAGGUUACUGUGAGGUCAUUAACCUUGACCCCGAGGUUAAAGUUCAACAACUGAAAUCAAUUUCAGCAAAAUUGUGUUCUUCUGUUGCUGGUCAGGCGGCCAUGGAUGUUGUAGUAAACCCGCCACGCCCAGGAGAGCCUUCAUACGACCUGUUCAUGAAGGAGAAAAACAAGGUUCUGAAUGAUCUGAAAGUGAAAGCCAACAUGGUGACAGAGACAUUUAAUAGCAUGGAGAGGUUUUCAUGUAACGAAGUGAAGGGAGCCAUGUAUGCAUUCCCACAAAUACAUAUGCCAGAGUCAGCUCUACAUGCUGCUAAGGCCAUGGGGAAGCCUGCUGAUGUGAUGUACUGUGAGGAUUUGCUACAACAGACUGGGAUAUGUGUGGUUCCUGGAUCUGGAUUCGGACAGAGACCUGGCACAUAUCAUUUCAGGACCACGAUUCUUCCUACUGUUGAACAACUUGCGGAUAUGCUGGAACGGUUCAAGGUCUUUCACAAAGGAUUUCUACAAAACUAUAAGUAAAGGAUUUCUACAAAACUAUAAGUAAAGGAUUUCUACAAAAAUGUAGGUGAAGGAUUUCUACAAAACUAUAAGUAAAGGAUUUCAACAAAAGUAUAAGUAAAGGAUUUCUACAGAAAUUUAGGUGAAGGAUUUUUACAGAAGUAUAAGUAAAGGAUUUCUACAAAAGUAUAAGUAUAAUGUGUAUCGAAAUCUGUGUAUAUUGUUUUUAAAUAUAUUUUUAUUUCAAAAUGUAAACACUCGAUUAAGCAAUAUAUGCAUGUACCAAAUACAUCAAUUAUUAUUUCUUUCAUAUAAACUUAACCGAAAAAAUAUUAAUUUUAAUUACAGUGCGUUUCGAUUUAUACAGAAGCUGAAAUGCUGUCAUUUAUUCGAUUUAGGAUGUAAACACGACAUUUUCCCGACAUUCAAAGAGUAUUUACCCAUGUGCUCGAGAUAAGACAUCAGUAUAUUCCUUUUUUGCGAUGUUCAUCGAAAGUGUUUUAUUUUCAAAAAAAGAUGCAAGGAACUCUCCUAAUGGAUCAACAUAUCAGGUCAUCUGUAAACAAUUAUACAUGUCGGGAAAUAUUUAUACAUGUCGGGAAAUAUUUAUACAUGUCGGGAAAUAUUUAUACAUGUCGGGAACUGUUGUAGUUUACAUGACAAGUAAUGCUGUAACACAUGACAAUGUUUAUAUCCUAUGUUACAAUUUGUUCCUUUUUUUCUCUUGGUUCAUAUUUUUGACUGUUUGCGAAAACAAAUUAUGAACUUCUCAACAUUGUAAUCAUAAAUAGUGUGUGAAAAACUGGUUUAACUUCAGAAUACUGUAGAAGUACUGUAAAUGACGUAUUGUGUAUUACUGUAGAGGUACUGUAAAUGACGUAUUGUGUAUUACUGUAGAAGUACUGUAAAUGACGUAUUGUGUAUUACUGUAGAGGUACUGUAAAUGACGUAUUGUGUAUUACUGUAGAAGUACUGUAAAUGACGUAUUUUGUAUUACUGUAGAGGUACUGUAAAUGACGUAUUUUGUAUUACUGUAGAGGUACUGUAAAUGACGUAUUUUGUAUUACUGUAGAGGUACUGUAAAUGACUUAUUGUGUUUUACUGUAGAAGUACUAUAACUGACGUAUUGUGUAUUACUGUAGAGGUACUGUAAAUGACGUAUUGUGUUUUACUGUAGAAGUACUAUAAAUGACGUAUUGUGUAUUACUGUAGAAGUACUGUAAAUGACGUAUGGUGUAUUACUGUAGAAGUACUGUAAAUGACGUAUUGUGUAUUACUGUAGAAGUACUGUAAAUGACGUAUUGUGUAUUACUGUAGAAGUACUGUAAAUGACGUAUUGUGUAUUACUGUAGAGGUACUGUAAAUUACUGUAGAGGUACUUUUGAUGACAUAUUGUGUUUUACUGCUGCAAAUGACCAAAUAGAGUAUGCUGCCUGUUGGAAAUGCAUGUACCUGAUGUUCACGCUUCAAAUUUUUAUGCGAAUUAUGCAUAAGGUAUGCACAAAAUGAAUUAAAUAAAUUUGUUUUAAAAUGUUAUCAGUAUUAUCAGUAAACACGAGUUGACUGUUAAGCACUUAUGAUAUUUUUACACAGUUGAUUUAAAUGUCUAUAGUUUUAUAUACCUGAGUUGACUGUUAAUUUCACAUAGUUUUAUUCAACUGAAAUGAUUGAAGAUACAUGUACCAUAGUUUUGUUUAUAGGUAAACUGUUAAGUACCUAUAUAAUUUGUUUAUAGGUAAACUGUUAAGUACCUAUAUAUUUUGUUUAUCUGAGUCGACUGUUAAGUUGUUGUUUUUUGCUAGCACCAAAGCACGUUUUUUUUGUUACCAUGUUUUACACAAGUUAAUGUAAAAAUGUAUAACGUGAUUGUUUUCGAAUUUUCUUGUGUGCUUUUCAUUUAAAACUGCUUUUCCAUUGCUCUGCAAACCUUUUUUCUAUUCUCCCAAAAUAGCAGUUAAACUUUCUUUCUAUGAAUGAAGUCGUCACCAACUGGCUUACUAUCAUUUUAAGGUAUUUUAGAUCACACGAGAAAUGUUAGAUCUGCAUGAUAAACAUUGCAGGAACACUUUGAUAAUGUUCUUAUUCCACAAACUUGCAUGGGUAUAACGCCAUCUGAUGUUGACUUCCUCUUAUUAGUUAGAUUAAUUUACUUUUGAGACUUUCAAUUGUAUACAGUGAGGACAGAUAUAUUCUUUGUUUUCUAUUUGUUUAAGAGUGUUAUCUCCUUUACUACUUGUCACAGAUCUGUACUCGUGCUGUGUGCCCUUUACUACUUGUCACAGAUCUGUACUCGUGCUGUGUGCCCUUUACUACUUGUCACAGAUCUGUACUCGUGCUGUGUGCCCUUUACUACUUGUCACAGAUCUGUACUCGUGCUGUGUGCCCUUUACUACUUGUCACAGAUCUGUACUCGUGCUGUGUGCCCUUUACUACUUGUCACAGAUCUGUACUCGUGCUGUGUGCCCUUUACUACUUGUCACAGAUCUGUACUCGUGCUGUGUGCCCUUUACUACUUGUCACAGAUCUGUACUCGUGCUGUGUGCCCUUUACUACUUGUCACAGAUCUGUACUCGUGCUGUGUGCUCCUAAAGUCAGUGCUUUGUAUAUAUCAUUUGAUUGAUCUUACAAAGCUUUGUCUUUUAAUUAACAUAUUUAACGUAUUUAUGUUUCUAUAACAUGCUAUAGUCAAUAUAUUAAUCAUAGAUAAUUGUUGUAAAUAAUAUAUUAAUCAUAGUGCUUUGUAUUUAUACGAGGAACGAACUAUAAAUAAUACAAAAACACAUAAUGAUUUGUUUUUAUACUAUAAGUGCUUUAAUUGAUAAAUUAAACA